rnacentral:misc_RNA from 1 species
GAUGAAGAACGCAGCGAAAUGCGAUACGUAAUGUGAAUUGCAGAAUUCAGUGAAUCAUCGAGUCUUUGAACGCACAUUGCGCCCCCUGGUAUUCCGGGGGGCAUGCCUGUCCGAGCGUCAUUGCUGCCCUCAAGCACGGCUUGUGUGUUGGGCCUCCGUCCUCCUCCCGGGGGACGGGCCCGAAAGGCAGCGGCGGCACCGCGCCCGGCCCUCGAGCGUAUGGGGCUUCGUCACCCGCUCUUGUAGGCCCGGCCGGCGCUUGCCGACACAUCAAUCUUUUUUCCAGGUUGACCUCGGAUCAGGUAGGGAUACCCGCUGAACUUAAGCAUAUCAAUAAGCGGAGGA